rnacentral:rRNA from 1 species
GAUGAACGCUAGCUACAGGCUUAACACAUGCAAGUCGAGGGGAAACGACAGAGGAAGCUUGCUUCCUUUGGGCGUCGACCGGCGCACGGGUGAGUAACGCGUAUCCAACCUUCCCGCAAGUAAGGGAUAACCCGUAGAAAUGCGGCCUAAUACCUUAUGUUUUCCUUAGAGGGCAUCUGAUGAGGAACAAAGAUCCGUCGCUUGCGGAUGGGGAUGCGUCUGAUUAGUUAGUCGGCGGGGUAACGGCCCACCGAGACGACGAUCAGUAGGGGUUCUGAGAGGAAAGUCCCCCACAUUGGAACUGAGACACGGUCCAAACUCCUACGGGAGGCAGCAGUGAGGAAUAUUGGUCAAUGGGCGUAAGCCUGAACCAGCCAAGUAGCGUGCGGGAUGAAGGCCCUA